rnacentral:rRNA from 1 species
UGCGGCUUAAUUUGACUCAACACGGGAAACCUCACCCGGCCCGGACACGGACAGGAUUGACAGAUUGAUAGCUCUUUCUCGAUUCCGUGGGUGGUGGUGCAUGGCCGUUCUUAGUUGGUGGAGCGAUUUGUCUGGUUAAUUCCGAUAACGAACGAGACUCUGGCAUGCUAACUAGUUACGCGACCCCCGAGCGGUCGGCGUCCCCCAACUUCUUAGAGGGACAAGUGGCGUUCAGCCACCCGAGAUUGAGCAAUAACAGGUCUGUGAUGCCCUUAGAUGUCCGGGGCUGCACGCGCGCUACACUGACUGGCUCAGCGUGUGCCUACCCUACGCCGGCAGGCGCGGGUAACCCGUUGAACCCCAUUCGUGAUGGGGAUCGGGGAUUGCAAUUAUUCCCCAUGAACGAGGAAUUCCCAGUAAGUGCGGGUCAUAAGCUUGCGUUGAUUAAGUCCCUGCCCUUUGUACACACCGCCCGUCGCUACUACCGAUUGGAUGGUUUAGUGAGGCCCUCGGAUCGGCCCCGCCGGGGUCGGCCCACGGCCCUGGCGGAGCGCUGAGAAGACGGUCGAAC